UUCACACUCUCUCCUCUUCUCUUCUUCUUCUUUUUCCUUUUCACACUUUCUCCUCUUCUCUUCUUCUUCUUUUUCCUUUUCACACUUUCUCCUCUUCUCUUCUUCUUCUUUAUCCUCCUUUUCCUUCAAACUCAAUAUCCGAAUCUGAUCAAUGAUGGAAGGAUCGAAGUUCCGAAUCUCAUCGAGGAAGGCGGGGUCAGACUGAAGCUCAUCAAGCACGGCGGGGUGGAGUUCCCGAAUCCAAUCAAGGAUUUCAGAAUCGAGAUCGGAUGGCGCAGGUGACGAAACAGACGGCGGAUUUAGAGGACCGUCGACUCUUUCAGAAAUUUCCGAAGAGAAAGCAGGGUCGAAGUUCCGAAUCACAUCGAGGAAGGCAGGGUCGAGAUUCCUAAUCUUAUUGAGCAUAUCGGGGUCGAGUGUCCGAAUCCAAUCAAGGAUUUCACGCUCAAGAUCGGACGGCGCAGGUGACGGAACAGACGUCGUCGGAUUUAGGGGAACUUCGACGCCUUCAGAAAAUUCCGAUUUCCGUCCAGAUUUGAAGUACUGAUAAAUUAAUACCAGCACUGACACUGACACAGGUAGGGCAAUACGCGCCGCUGAAAAAAACAUAGUUUUUGUGCUGAUGGCGGCGGCGGAUGCGGCGGCGACGGUAGCUGAAACUGGGUUGCUAGGUUUUUGCUGUGAACUUGCAACUAGCAACUACAUUAUGGAGGAAACAAACUCUCUCAUAUGAUCAAAACAUACUUUGACCGCCUAAAUCAAAGUCUGCUUUGUCUAGAGGCAUGUUUGGAUUGCUUUUCAAUUCCAAAGCUACUUUAGUAAAAGUGGAGAACCUCAUAAUAAAAGAAUAACUUACAUGGAUCGAAUACACUUUGUAUCAGCGUCUCAGUUUAAGCAAAUAUUGUUACAAUGUAACGAUAUCUUAAAUCGAUGCGUUGAUAUGUAACAUCUAUGUGUAGGUUGAGUACUCCUUUAUAAUAAUACUUAAGAUUUUGAUUCCUUCUCAUUCCGUCUCCCAAUUAAUUUGAUCAAUCGUUCCAAUUUCGAAUUAAUAAACACGUCGUGAAAGUAUUUUUAACUUUCAAACGAAAUUUUCCACUUAUUUCAGGCUGAGUCAACCCUCUUUACUCUCCAUUUUGGUUGUCCUACAAACACGUUACUUAGUAAUGUGGGUUUGCCUUUCACAUUGGUGUUGUAUAUGCAAAUUUAACCAAUGUUGCAUUCAAGAUAGACAAUGCACGUAACGUCGCCGCAAGUUCGAUACGUAACAGACGAUCCCGGCGCAGGUUUUAUCAAGAGAGAUCAACAACCGAAUCAUUUGCAGUACUCGGGAUAGGCAGCGACAACGAAAUUGAAAGGAUAUUCUUGACUAAAGUGUUUUCCGGUAAUAUGACAUGGAUGAGAAAUAAUUUACAGGUUCCAUCUCCCUUAAAUCUCACAACUAUAAAGUCUGUGUCGUCCGGUGAAGAGGUUUGAUACAUUUCUAAGAUUAAAUUACCAAAAGAGAAAGAUUACACAUGUUUGAGUGAUGCAAAUCCUGUGCUCUAGGCAAGCAUUUCAUGCAUAACUUACUGCACGGGCUGCGGCUGACUUGUAACAUCAGUUCCGUUUCUGCUCCCAGCCAUUCCUGCCCCGUUAGUGGUUGCCGAGUCACUGAAAGGAAGUUGAGGAUCAGGACCAGAUGUAGUUGAAGAUGGUAUAUGUAACGGGUGUUGGAGUUUGAAUGAAAUUUCAACUCAAAUGUGGGGUAUUGUUGGAAAUUUGAGUAGUUUGAGUAGAAAUUUCUUUGUCUCACAUUGGCCAUUUCCAAAAGAUUUUAUCACUUUAUAAGGCUUUGUCUUUUAUAGAAAGUGAUUGGAAUAAUAGGUCUGGAGACUAAAAUUGGGCUCACCCUUGGAGUUGGGCUUUGGGAUUUACUAAUUAAUUGGUAAUUAAUUAUAAUUAAUAUAUAUUUUUUUCUGUGUUUUAAAUGCCAUGCAGAUGAAUGUAUAUAUAGUGUGAUUAUACCUGUUCGCAACAUGUAUGAGGAAGGGAUGCAUCUGUUGGGAGACAUCAUAAACAUCAUUUCUGAGAGAACCACAUUAAUAUUCGCCAGAAGUCAAUUUUCCGGUGCUGAAAUUUCUGACUUAGAUCGUUGAAUCCUGAUGAAGCAGACGUCCGUAGAACUACAAGCACUGAAUAGGGGCGAAAUUUUUGUUUCAAGGACAUUGCGGUACGCAAGCCUCGAUCUUUUGUUACUCUGCUUAAUUAAUAUUUCAUCUUGUUGAGUCUCUGGAAUAUAUUUAUUCGUAUUUAUUAUUAGCAUAUUUAUUUUAUUGCGGAUUGUUGACAUAUAUCCAACAACCGGUGGUCAAAUUUACAAGCUGGCCCAAAUUUGCAAAUGCCAUAGCGACUGUGAUGUGUGCAAAUGUUCUGAUCCUGGAUUUUGAAACAAAUUUUGUGUGGUCAAUGGCGUGCAAUCAUGUAAUAUGCGAUCAAACUGAGGCUCUCAUAGAGCGGGAACAAUUGUCCUCACAUAGUAUUUCAUUUGUUUUACCUUAAUGUAUCACAAAGUGAAAACCUUUCGAAGAUCGUAUUUCCGAAAUUAUGAACUCGUAAUAAAGGGCAUGCUCAAAGAAGGGUGAACUUACCGGUCUCAAAGGCAGGCCCUUGUCACUGAGUGCGAUUGGGGCGGCUACUGCAGUGCAGUAUGACUUGUUGGAUGGUGAUAUUUGCAAUUAGAUUUAAACUUGCAAUCCCCCGUUCUUAAGAAAUAAGGUACCGUCUGGUACGCAAACGGGACGGAACGGGAUGGAAUGUGUGAAAUUCCAUCCUUAAUUUGUCGUAUAUUAUAUUAUCGAACAUAUGAUUACCAAAUUGUCCUUGAGGCAUGAACGUUGACUUUCGUUGACCGUCUCGUCGUGACGCGUAUUACUAAUUUUCUUAAUUUAUUCUUAUCGUACUCAUCGAUACGAACGCGUAGGCGCGAACGGAUUUGAAUUUGAAGUUAUAACGAAUAUUUUACAUUACGAAACGUCGAACGUUUUUCGAAUAUUUUGUGUUUCGUCUUUAGUGACCUUGUUUUGUGAGCCAUAGGGACCACAUGUUUUCUUCAUUUUUCCUCGUAACCCCUCUCUUCUCUCUUCCAUCUAUUAUUUUCUGAACACUCACUCUCUCCCUCUCUACACUCUUGGCCAUCUCUCAAACCAACCCUCCUAGAGGGGUUUCACUCAAACAAAUCACACAACAACAACCUUGGUACCACCACCAUCACUCCUAUGAACUCAGAAUUGAAAGAGGACCCUCCAAACUCGCUGCACAGCGUUCACCACUGUUCACUGAGUUUUUCGACGAGUUUCCACCUUUUUUGACGAAGGUAAGCCUCAAAACUUGUCCAAAAGUUGUAGAUCGUGUCUUGGUGUAUGUUUACAGGUAGUUUUGAGAAGUUUCGGUGAUGUUUGGACGUAGGAAUCUCAUGGGGAAAACUUCCAUAGUUUUCCCGGUGAAGACAGCCACUUUCGAGCCAUUUUCCGGCCGAACCACGACGAGUUAGUCAUCAAGAAAGGUACCAUUCUCUUCCUCUCAUCGAGAAGUAUGAUUUUCGUUUUUGAAUCACUCAAUGACGUUGAGUAUUGAAGAAGUUAUGAAUGUUUAAAGUUUACCUAGUUUACGGCGAGUUCUCCGGUUUUCCCACGGACCGGUCACACUUCAAGCCAUUUUCCGGCUAUUUUCGGCAACCAUUGGGCUUCCAAAUAGGUAUAAUCUUGUUCGACACUUUCCUAUCUUCAUUUUAUAUAUUAUGGGUCGAAUUUGGUUAAGAAACACGUGAGUUGAGAAGCUUUGAAAAUUACCCAACUUCCAGCCAAAAAUCCCAAUUUCUAGUAUAAGCUCCGACGGCUCGGCUCGGCUCAGCUUCAGCUGACUUCUCAAUCAGUGUCGACCAUUGACUGUCAACAUUGACUUUUGGGUUGACAUUUUUUGGUUUCGGCUGGGACCCCUCCUAGACUAAUUUCGACGUCCUAAUUCCAAAUAUGCGCUUCUUUUUUCCAAAUUCAAUCAUUUUAGUAGAGUUUUAUUAAUUGGUCCCUUCAUGUGCUUAGGUGCAUUUGUUAGUGGCAACCCCGUCCUCUCUAGUUAAAACGGCUCUUCGGCGAUAGAGUAUCUGUUAGUUGACCCCUUCCAAAAUGCAUGAUUUUAUUACUAGAGAUGCAUACAUGAAAAACAUGAUUUUAUGGCUACAUUUUAUGAAACGUUUAUGAGUAAAUUGGAUUUACGCUUUGUGAAAUAUCAUGCUUUAUCAAAUUUAUGUUUACUGAGAUAUUUAUGAAUAUGAUUUAUUGAUAUGAUGUUUGAGCUAUUGAGCUCCGAUGAGAUAUAUUUUGGAAAGAUUAUGUUCAUGAUUUUAUGUGCUUACUUAGUGAAUGAUACUUAUAUAUGCCUUCGGGCCGGUGAUGAAGGGCCUUUGGGCGAAUGAUACUUAUAUAUGCCUUUCGGCGAGUAUGAAGGGCCUUCGGCCGGGCGAGUGAUACUUAUAUAUGCCUUCGGGCGGGUGAUGAGGGCCUUCGGGCAAAUGAUACUUACAUAUGCCUUCCGGCGAAUGAAAUACCACUACUAAGCACACUAUAUAUGAUAUAUGUUUUACAAAGGUUUUAUGGCAUGCUAGGGUUUUCGGAAAACCUAUUACUUAUUAUGCUAUAUGAGUUUCUAAAACUAGGGUUUAGUACGUUAAAGAAUAACUGUUUUAGUAUUACAUAUAUAUAAACUUAGUCCACUCAUGUUUUUUGUUUUGAGCCCCCUUAGGACUUAGGAACAAGGCAUACGACCCAAGCUACAAGGCAUUCCCAUAUCGGUGAAUUUGUGUCCUCUCUGCGUAGGACAUCUCUUGUAAUCGCACCUUCUGAUAUCCCUUCCACUUGUAUUUCGAAUUAGUAGUAAUACUCUGAACAUGUCAUGCAUUAUUACUUUUAAAUUGUUGGCAGUGAACUAUUAUUAUAUUUUCUAUUAAGGUUUGUACUUGAAUAUUACAUUGCGUGGUUAAGCACUAAAUUUAUAUGCAUGUUUCACAUGUUCUUGGCAUAUGCAUUCAUUAAAUGGCUUGCGUCACCCUUGAGUGUCGGCGAGCACGUGGCCAUCCCGUUGGCCUUUGGACACCGGGAUCGGAGCGUAUCAAAAUGGGACGGAACGGGACAGUUGUUCCAUUCUGCAUUUGCAGCUUCCGAGUCACAGAAAGGAAUCUGAUAAUGACGGAUGGUCAAAUCUACAGGUUGGCCCAGAACUGCAAACGCCAAAGCGGCUGUACUCUGUGCAAAUCUUCUGACCCUGGAUUGGAAACAAAUUUAGGAUGAAAGUUUAUGCAAUUGAUGGCAUGCAAUAACGAAGCACAAUAACUGAUCAAACCGAGUAUUUCAUAUAGGAGAGGCAAGAGAGGAACUGUUAGUUAAGAAUCCUUCUAUUUUGAAAGAGACAUCCAUAACUUUCAUUACAAAUUAUUUUUCGCAAGGUCAAAUGAGUCUCAGUAAUAUACAUUUUCUUGGUACAUUGCUAAUUAUCCAAGGUACACUAAAAUUUGCAAAAAGACUUCAAUUCCAAUAUUAUCCCAUCACUUAAUCAAAAUAAAAAGUUUGAAUAACAAGUGGUGGUUAGUUAUUAAUGCUGUCAAGGGUGAAAAAAUAUGCACAUUGGCAAACGGUGAACUCAUUGGCCCAAAAGAGAAUAACUUAGAACUUAAAAACCAACCUUCUGUGCUACUUGUAUCACAAAGUGAAAAACCUUUUUGAGAUCAUAAUCCAUAGUUACGAAUUCUGUAUAAAAAGAACAGUUCGAAGAAGAGUGAACUUACUGGUCUUAAAGGGAGGCCCCUGUCACUGAGUGCACAUGAGGGGGUCGCUGCAGUCUGAUUUUUUGGAUGGUGAUAUUGGCAAUUAGAUUUAUUAUCACAAUCCCCUGUUUGAGCGAAAUAGAAGCAAACAGGUUGCCCAGGUCGUUCUGGUAAUUCUUCAGCUUGCGUCUGCUGUGCAUAUUGUCCGUAGUAGUUGGUUUCAGUCACCGAGUUGUUCGUAACAUAUGGUGGAGGUGCAGGCAUGUUUCUAUGAACAUAUGGUGGAGGUGGUGGAGGUGGUGGAGGUGGAGGUGGAGGUGGAGGUGCAGGCAUGCUUGGUAGAUAUGCUGGAGCCUAAACAUGUUUUGGCCAAUACAAAAUUAGAGAGAAAAGCAUGUUUUUGAAAAUGCAAACGAGAACAGCAGUAAUUCUAUAAAUUCUACAAAAAAAAGGGGCUAUUCUUACUUAUACCCACAAACUAAUACGGAACCCAAAUAAGAAGUCUAGAUGUACCGAUGUGAAAAUGUAAGCAUAUUACCACAACUGAUGUAGACAACAAUUUGUUAUCAAUAUUCAAAUCUUCAAGAAUUUAACUUCUUUACAAAGAAUAUUAGAAUAUCACAAUAAGUCCUUAAUGUAGGACCAUAUUAUUAUUUUUAUGAGCCGAACAUGAAUAAAAAGGGCAUGAGAAGAAAAAAAAAAAAAAGAGGUCAAAACACAAAAAGAUCCGACUAUUAUCCCAAAAGAGACGGUAAUUCGCAUAUCAAAAAGUGAUGAGAGUUAUUUAAAUUUUAAACCCAAGACUUUAAUAAGGGAGUGAUGGCUAAAGUACCUGAUAACCAUUCCAUUCUGUAGUUUCAGAAUUAAUCCCUUGAGAAUUUGGCAGACCUUGUAAUGAUGCAGGCCUACCAUUACCAUACGCGGAUUGCGGGUGAGAUUCUCCAGCAGCUGUAGGAUCAGGGUGGUUAAACUUGCAGUUUAUUCCGUACUUGCAGGUCCCAGUUCGCAUAUAGUAGGAACAAUCUUUCUCCCCCUGUAAUACGUUAAAACAAUUAUUCAGCAAACAUAUGGACACAUUAAAUUGGUCCAAAAGAAUAAGAAAAUAAGCAAAGAUAAAAUCUUAAACCUUAAACAUCAUGAAUAGAUAGAAAUUCAUUCCUCAAAUUUUUACAGAUCAAAUCUAGAGCUUAUACCGGACGAAUUGGCAGGUCCGAAAAAUUAAGUUCCAGAGCUGGAGCUACAGAAGGUACCCCUAUACGUCGUCCUGGGCUGAUGUAAUACUGCAACAAGCUUAAGUGUUGUAUUAAGAUCGUGAAACUGUUACUAGGCCACCACGUAGCACAGAUUUGAAUACGAGGGUACAAAGGGAAAGAAAUGUCUUUGACAUUUAAAAACAUAAUUGUAAUCCUGUAUAAAAAGGAAAAUGUAAUUGUAAUGUAACAGCAUACAAUUGUGAAAACACAUCGACUAUAAGUUGAUCACGUUCAAGACCCUCAUCAUUCUAUAGUUAGCUACAAGAUGAAAAAGGUUUAAGCUUGUAUAUUCACUAGCGCAUUCUAACCAACUAGCUUUCAGAUAACCAUAUCGAAAAACCCCAUCGUCAAAACACAACAUAGUACUUGAAAUCAAAUAUGCGAAGUAAAACAAAACUUAAUGAUGUAAAACAUGAAAACCAAGCAAUUGCAGUAAAAACCAGAACUUCGGAUAGAUAAUAACCUUGCUUUCGGUCUGGUCUUGCUUCUCUUCCAACUCUUCCCUCUGCUUUGCCUUGUCCUUCGACACCUUCAAAUCAAUAUGAUAAAGUUCAAAACACCAAGAAACACAAAGUGAGCACCAACGACACAAUUAUUUCCUGCAUUCAUACAAGGCCAGAUGCAUUAAUGUCUCAAAUACUAAAUGCAGGCCCAAAGUCCCGAUUUGUUUCAGAUACAUUUCACCACAACGAUGCACGUGAAAGAAAAACAUCAUCUUUAACAAAUAAAUGCGGAACAAGAGAGAUAUACCUGCUUGUUUUUCCCUAUCCGAGGGUGAUUAUACUUGCAAUUCGAUCCGAACUUACAAAUGCCAGUCCUCAGAUAGUUCCAACAGUCUCCAAGCCUCAAUGGGUACUGAUCCCUUCUGCUACUCUCCUCAACAACCUCCUCCCCCACCUCACCACCAUUCUCAUUCCCUCCUCCGCUGCCACUGCUGCUACUGCUUUCGCUCUUUUCCCUCUCUCUCUCCUUCUCCUCUUCUUCUUUUUCCUCAUUUUCCUUCAAACUCAAUUUUCGAAUCCCAUCAACGAUGGAAGGAUCGAAGUUCCGAUCCUCAUCCAGGAAGGCGGGGUCGAAUUGCUGAAUCUCAUCGAGCACGGCGGGGCCGAGUGUCCCAAUCCAAUCAAGGAUUUCAACAACGGACGGCUCAGGAGACGGAACGGACGGCUCAGGAGACGGAACAGACGGGGGAUUUUGAGGAACGUCUACGCUUUCAGAAAUUUCCCAAGGGAAAGCAGGGUCCAAGUUCCGAAUCUCAUCAACGAUGGAAGGAUCGAAGUUGCGAAUCUCAACGGCGGGGUCGAAUUGCUGAAUCUCAUGGAGGAGGGCAGGGUCGCGAUUCCUAAUCCUAUUGAGCACGGCGGGGUCGAGUCUCCGAAUCCAAUCAAGGAUUUCACGCUCGAGAUCGGACGGCGCAGGUGACGGAACAGACGUCGGAUUUAGGGGAACUUCGGCGCCUUCAGAAAAUUUCGAUUUUUGUCCGGAUCUGAAGUACUUAUAAAUUACGACCAGCACUGACAGUGACACCGGUAGGAGGACACGCGCCGCUGUGAACAUAGUUUUUGUGCUGAUGGCGGCGGCGGAUGCGGCGGCGACGGUAGCUGAUAGGACUCCAGUUCACAGAGGAAGAAAUAAAAGGAAGACAGCUAAGUUAGGUAGAAAAGUUAAGGCAUUUUCAUUUCAUAAUCCGAGGAGAUACAAUUGGGGGUGCUUAUAUAUAACCCAUUAGCCAACACAAACAAAAGGCUCAAGUGCUGAGUCAUCCUCUAAUAACUACUCUCACUACAAUACAGGAUAGUAAUAAAAGGUAAAGAAGGUGGACCCGAUAAGGUUCUAACAUGGCUCUCCCCCCUUAACAAGCCUGUCCGCAGGCGUUAAACCCAGGAAAACGAGUUAAGAUAGAGUCGGCAUCCUCCCACGUAGCAUCAUGCUCCGGAAGACCUUCCCAUUUAAUGAGCCAACGGGUGAUUGCUCGAUUGUCUUGCUUGAACAUGCCACGCUGAAGUAUCUUUUCUGGGGUCCAGAUGAAGGCACCAGUCAAGGAAACUGGGGGAAGAGUUGGUGAUGCAACUGUAUAAGCACCCACAUUGGGUUUAAGUAAGGAGACAUGGAAGGUAGGAUGAAUGCGAGAGUGAGGAGGCAGGUCCAGAGUAUAUGCCACUUGACCCACGCGAGCAAGCACCUUGAACGGUCCAUAGUAGCGAGGAGCCAAUUUAGGGCAAUGCGUCUUAGACACUGAUGUCUGGCGAUAGGGUUGAAGCUUGAGAAAGACCCAAUCCCCAACUGAAAAGGUUCGCUCCGAACGAUGUUUAUUAGCCUGCUGGCGCAUCCGAUGUUGAGCGAGGUGCAGGUUCUCCCGCAAUUGCCUGAGCAGGGCAUCGCGAUCUCGAAGGGUGACAUCAACCAGAUGAACCAGAUAAGAGCCAGGAAGAUAGGAGGACACCGUUGGUGGUGGGUAGCCAUAGACUGCCUGAAAAAAGGUCAUUUGAAUGGCAGCUUGAUAGGUAGUAUUAUACCACCACUCGGCCCAAGGAAGCCACUGUAUCCAAUCAUUGGGUUUGUCCCUUACAAAACUGCGCAGAUAUUGUUCAAGGGUGCGAUUGAGCACUUCGGUUUGGCCAUCGGAUUGUGGAUGAUACGCCAAGCUCUUGCAAAGAGUGGUGUGCUGCUGUUUAAAGAAGGCAAUCCAAAAAUCACUAAUAAAGACUGGAUCCCGAUCACUCACUAUGGAAGCCGGCAUGCCAUGAAGGCGAAAGACUUCGUGAAUAAAGAUAUCAGCGAUUUUGGCCGCCGAGUAUGGGUGUUUGACCGGAAUGACGAUCCACUACCACGAAAAUAACGUUGCGCCCAUGGACCGAAGGAAGGCCUUCAAUGAAAUCCGUGGCAAUGUCGUGCCAUACGUUGGUGGGAAUGGACAGAGGUUGCAAGGGGCCUGGUGGUUUAAUCGUCUCAUACGUUGUACACUGGCAGGUGUCACAGGCAGCCACAAACUUUUUAACAUCUUUUUUUAGCCCCGGCCAAUUGAAAUUGAGUGUUAACCUCUUGUAAGUGCGUAGAAAGCCCGAGUGUCCCGCAGAUGGUGAAGAAUGAAACUCAGCAAGGAGGCGUGCUCGCCAAGGGGAAGAGGCAGCAACAAAAAACCCCCUUCUUAUAGUAUAAGAGAUCGCCGUGGAGUUUAAAUAAAGCAUGACGCUCCAGGUCCUGUUGCAAGGCCGCCAACAGUGAAGAGGCCUGAGGAUCAGUGGCAUAGUCUGCUUGUAUCGCAGCGAUACAAUCAAAAAGAGGCUGAGAUAGUCCCAUUAACCCAAGAACCUCAGGACGUCGGGAAAGAGCAUCAACAGCGGCGUUCGAAGUGCCCGGCCGAUAUUCCAGCGUAUAGUUAUAACCAAGUAACUUCAACAACCACCUUUGUUGAGUUGAAGUAGUGAUGCGCUGAUCAAGGAAAUAUUUCAAAGUCUGGUGGUCAGUAAGGAUCCGGAACUGAUGGCCUAUCAAAUAAGAACGCCAUUUUUGGACCGCAAAGACCACCGCCAACAUCUCCUUAUCAUACACCGAAAGAGCCUGGUGUUUUGGAGCUAAAGGUUUGUUAAGGAACCCAAUGGGAUGACCCUCAUGUGAUAAGACGACGCUAAUACCACUAUCAGAGGCAUCGCACUUAACCGUAAAUGGUUUGGUGAAGUCUGGAAGAGCGAGGACCGGUGUGGAAGACAAUGCCUGUUUGAGGGCCGAGAAGGCCUGAGCAACGUUGGUGGACCAUUGGAAACUGUCAGUGCGUAAUAAGUCCGUAAGUGGUCGUGCUAUUAUGCCAAAAUGAUGGACAAAUUUGCGAUAGUAGCCUGCGAGACCCAAAAACCCACGAAGGGCCCGAACAGUGGUUGGUGUCGACCAAUCUGAAAUCGCAGAAAUUUUAGAGGAAUCCACGACCACCCCUGUGACGGAUAUAAUGUGUCCCAAAUACGCAAUUGAAGGCUGGCCAAACAGACACUUCGAAUGCUUCAAUUUGAAUUGAUAAGUGCGUAAGAGCUCAAACACCUUAGCUAAAUGUGAGACAUGUUGUUCCACAGAGGCACUGAAAACCAAUAUAUCAUUAAAGAAAACUAUCACUGACUUAUGCAGCAAGGGCUUCAGAAUGGAAUUCAUUAAUGCCUGGAAGGUGGCUGGAGCAUUGGUCAGGCCGAAUGGCAUGACCGUGAACUCAUAGUGCCCCUCAUGUGUUCGGAAAGCGAUUUUAGGAAUGUCCGGUUCAUGCAUCCGUAUCUGGUGAUACCCCGAACACAAGUCGAGCUUCGAAAAUAUAACAGCACCCCGUAACUCGGCCAAUAAUUCAUCAAUAAUAGGGACUGGAAAACGGUCUUUGAUAGUGACAGAAUUCAAAACCCGAUAGUCCACACAAAACCUCCAUGUAUUAUCCUCUUUGGCCACUAAGAGCGUCGGUGAAGAAAAUGGGCUGUGACUGGGCUUGAUAAUACCCGUAGCUAACAUUUCCUCCACCUGCUGUUCAAGUUCAGCUUUUUGAGCAUGUCCAUAAUGAUAGGGUCUCAUAUUCACGGGGCCAGUUCCCGGAAGCAGAGAAAUCCGGUGAUCAAUGAGCCGGUGAUGGGGUAGGGUAGUGGAGGCUUAAAAAAUGUCAGAAUACUGGAGUAGUAAGGCUUGAAGGAUGUCGGGUAGUGGUGCUGGAUGAUAUAACCCUGUUGGUAAAUUGGAGAUCUGCGCCAUAAUAUGGAAAGGGUUCCUAAGGGAAGGAUCCAAGGAAGACAAUGGAGGUAUGGCCCCGGCUGAAUGGGCUGAAGAACCUACUAGACGAUAAUUGGUGCCCUGCACAGUGAACUCUAUGACUUUCAGAAGGAAGCCAAUAAGGCCCAAUGUUUCCAACCAAUCCACUCCAAAAACCAUGUCACACCCGACUACUGCCAGAAGGUGGAAGUCAGCACGGAAGUCAUACCCCCGAAGGUGAACAGAGACAUUGCGAGCCAUACCCUUUGUGCGAAAGUAGCGGCCCGUGGCCACCAUCACGGCCUCAUUGGAAGUUGAAUCAAUUGGAAGACCUAAACGGGCAGCGACCUGAGGAUUAAGAAAACUCUGGUCAGCCCCAGAAUCGAUGAACACUUGAAUCCGAGUAUGGUGGAGGACGCCUUCCAAAUGCAUAGCUCGUCCCCGGGAACGCUUUGUAGCCGAGAUGGCAUUGAGAGCAAUAGGUGGCGCCGGUUGGUCCCCUAUGGAAGGGUCAAGUGGGUUGGAGGUCUUGGGUUUCGACUGGAAGUCAGAGAAAUCCUCAUCCGCCAAAAGCAUGAGGAUGUGGGAUUGCCGACAACGAUGACCCGGCCAAUACUGCUCAUCACAAUUAAAACAGAGCCCAUGUUCCCUCCGUGCGCGCAUUUCGGCUUGGGCGAGGCGUAAUAUGGGCUUAGGGGGAAAAGUCGGUGUGGCGGCCGGUAAGGAACGGGAAGCAGGAGUGGACAUGAAGGGCACAACGGUGGAAUGAAAGAAAGGUUUAGAGGGGGUGGAGGAGGACCGAGGAAAAUGGUGUAUGGUCGUAGGACAGAAUGGAAGGACCGGCUACAAACGGGGUAGUGCGUGAGGGAGAAGGGGAAGUGCUCCAAGUGGGUAGGGGAAGGGUGGUGUGGGCAAUGGAAAAGGGCCCGCAUCCGAGCGAAACCGGAAUGGAACCAAUCAGAAUCUAGGGACUGGGUUGGGUUGUGGGUGGGUGUUUUAAAGAUCGAAUCUCCUCGAUGAGGGUCUGCUGAAAUUUACUUUGUUGAGUCUGGUGAACAUUUAGGCUGGCGAGAGACUGUUGCAGAUCCGCCAUAUGAUGCUGAAAAUCAUCUUGACGGAGGUUUAUCAGCGUCAUUGCCUCUUGGAAUCCAUGUAGUUGGGUGAGGAUUUGCUGCUGCUGAAAGUCCAGGUCAAGCUCCGCCUCGGAAACCUCGGCCACCGUCACAGAGGCCUUGCUCUUGCCCAUGGACGCCCAACUAGGCUCUGAUACCAAUUGAUAGGACUCCAAUUCACAGAGGAAGAAAUAAAAGGAAGACAGCUAAGUUAGGUAGAAAAGUUAAAGCAUAUUCAUUUCAUAAUCCGAGGAGAUACAAUUGGGGGUGCUUAUAACCCAUUAGCCAACACAAACAAAAGGCUCAAGUGCUGAGUCAUCCUCUAAUAACUACUCUCACUACAAUAAAGGAUAGUAAUAAAAGGUAAAGAAGGUGGACCCGAUAAGGUUCUAACAGUAGCUGAAACUGGGUUGCUAGGUUUUGUUGUGAACUUGCAACUAGCAACUACGUUUAUGGAUGAAACAAAUUCUCUCAUAUCUGCUUUGUCUAGAAGCUGCUUUAGGAAAAGUGAUUCUGUAUUAAUUAAUAAAACACUCGUUAACCAAAAUCAUGUGAAAUUAUCAAUUUAAUCCUUUAAUUAAAACAUAACAUAAAUAAGAAAUAUAAGACAUAAAUGUAAUUUCAUAUUACUAAAUUUUACUGUUUUUUUUUUCAAAGCCUCACCUACAUACACUCCCACAUUCUCUAUCACUCUCUUCCACUCUCUUCCACUCUCCUUCUAUUUGAAAAACCCAAAAAAAAAAAAAAAAAAAUUCUCACACUUUGUGUGCGCCCAUAUGCUAGUCUCAUAAUAACAGAAUGACUUACAUGGAUCGAAUACACUUCCAAGCAGUCGCUGGUUUAGAAAAUAUUGCUACAAUGUGACGAUACUUAAAACAAUAAUGCGUUGACAUAUAAGAUCUAUGUGUGGGCUAAGUCCUUCAUAAUAAUACUCAGAAUUUUGAUUCCUUCUUAUUCAUCUCUUGAUUAAUUUGAUCAAUCAUUCCAAUUCCUUCUUAUUCAUCUCCUGAUUAAUUUGAUCAAUCAUUCCAAUUUCGAAUUAGUAACCGCGUCGUAAAAAUAUUUUUAACUCUCAAACAAAAUUUCCCAGUUAUUUCAGGCUGAGUCAACUCUCUUUACUCUCCAUUUUGGUUGUCCUAGGGUUUUUUUUUUUUUUUGGGUCAAAGGUUGUCCUAGGUUCACUCGUAUGACCUAGGUUUGCUAGUCCUAGGUUCUCCAUCACCUUCACAGCUCCACUCAGAUGCCGUGACCUACAAACAUGCUAUUUUGUAAUAUGGGUUUGUCUUUUAGCUUGGUGUUGUAUAUGCAAAUAUAACCAGUGUUACAUGCAAGAUAGACAAUGCACGUAACGUCGCCGCAAGUCCGAUACAUAACAGAAGAUCCCGGCACAUGUUUUAUCGAUCGAGAUCAACAACCGAAUCAUUUGCGAUACUCGGGAUAGGCAGCGACAACGAAAUUGAAAGGAUAUUCUCGACUAAAGUACUUUCCGGUUAUAUGACAUGGAUGAGAAAUAAUUUACAGGUUCCAUUUCCCUUAAAAUCUCACAACUAUAAUGUUUGUGUCGUCCGGUGAAGAGGUUUGAUACAUUUUUAAGAUUGAAUUACCAAAAGUGAGAUUACACAUGUUUGAGUGAUGCAAAUCCUGUGCUCUAGGCAAGCAUUUCAUGCAUAACUUACUGCACGGGCUGCGGCUGACCUGUAACAUCAGUUCUGUUUCUGCUCCCAGCCAUUCCUGCCCCGUUAGUAGUUGCCGAAUCGCUGAAAGGAAGUUGAUGAUCAGGACCAGAUGACGGGUGGUCAAAUUUACAAGCUGGCCCAAAUUUGCAAAUGCCAUAGUGACUGUAAUGUGUGCAAAUGUUCUGAUCCUGGAUUUUGAAACAAAUUUUGUGUAAUCAAUGGCGUGCAAUCAUGUAAUAUGCGAUCAAACUGAGGCUCUUAGAACAGAGGGAAGAGAACAAUUAGUUAAUAAUAUUUAUGAUUCGGGAACAAUUGUCCUCGCAUAGUAUUUCAUUUGUUUUACCUUCAUGUACCACAAAGUGAAAACCUUUCUAGGAUCAUAUUUCGAAAUUAUGAACUCGUUAUAAAAGGCAUGGUCAGAGUAGGGUGAACUUACCGGUCUCAAAGGCAGGCCCUCGUCACUGAGUGCGAUUGGGGGGCCUACUGCGGUGAGUUUUUGGAUGGUGAUAUUUGCACUUAGAUUUAAACUUGCAAACACCCUUUCUUAAGAAAUAACUGCAUAAGGGUUGGCCAGGUCGUUCUGGGAACUCUUCAACUUGAUUCUGGUGUGGAUGUUGCCUGUAGACGUUGGUUUCAGCCACUGAGUUGUUCAUCAUGUAUGGCGGACGCGCAGGCAUGCUUCUUUCGGGUGCAUAUGCGGAAGCCUAAAAGUUCACAACGAAACACAAUAGGGAUGCCAAUUAACAAUAGAGACCUCACAAACUGAUAAGGAUGCCAAUUGACGAGUUGUGAAUGCAGAGAUAUGAACUAAAAAAAUUACUAUAACUGUUGCAGACAGCAAUUUGUCAAACUAUUGGGAACUUUAAGUCCUGGUUAUAUAUAAAAAUUCAUAGCAAAUGUGGUCGAGCAAAUUAUUAAUUUAUGAGCCAGAAAUGAAUAAAAAGAGAAUGGCUGAAAAGUAUAAGAAAGUUAAACAUACAAAAUGAUCGUGAUCUCUUAUCCCUGAUAAAGUAUUAACUGGUAUAUCAAAGUGAUCACAGUUAUUCAAACACGAGACUCUGAGAUGGGAAAGUUAAAUAAAAGAACCUGAUAACCAUUCCAUUCUGAAUUUUGAGAAGAAACUACUUGAGGUGGUGGAAUCAUCAGUGUCGAGUAAACCGGAUCCUCAUUCAAUGGCCUUGGUGCAGACCAUGGUGCCACUGUUGAUUGUGAUGCACCUUGUAAAGAUGCAGGACCACCAUUACCAUAUCCAGAUGGGGGAUCAGAUCCUCCUGUAGCUGUCGGAUCAGGGUGGUUAAACCUGCAGUUCGAUGCAUACUUGCAGGAGCCAUUUUGCAUAUAGUACGGACACUCCCUUUUACCCUGUAACAAUUAAAAAUAAAUAUUCGCAGUAACUGACAGAAACAUAAUAAAUAGGUCCAACAAACCAAGAAAAUAAGCAAAGAUAAAAUCUUAAAAAUCAUGAAUAGAUAUUCAUUUCUCAAAACUUAGCAAGUUAGAUAUAAAGUGUAUACCGGUCGAAUUGGCAGGCCCAGAAAGUUAAGCUCAAGCUUCCCUUUGCUGUGGCUGUAUCUGCAAUUUUCCCCAUGCUUACAUCCACCCGACCUCAAGUAAUACUGCAACAAGCUCAAGUGUUAUCUCAUCAUGAAACUGUUACUAGUCUGCCGUACACAUUGCAGAUAUUUGGAUAUAAGGCACAAAGAGAAGAAUUGUUACUGACAUCCGAAAGCAUAAUUGGAAUUACUGUAUAAAGGAAUACAAGAAUGUCAUGAAAAAAGCAUACAAUUUCAUGAAAACCCAUCCGGUGGAGAUUGUCUAACUACUCAUCAACUUGCUAUAAUUUAAUCAAACGGAUGAAAUGCCUCCCCAUACAACAUAAACAAAUAAAGUUCAAAAUCUCAGGAUUAUGCACUAGCCACAAGAUAAAAGUUUUUAGCUUUUUGUUUCGGUUAUGCAUGCCAACCUAAUUUUCAGAUAAGCGGACUCAGAAAACCCCACCAUCAUAACAAUGACCGCUAGGAUACCAAAUACAUAAACUAAAACAAAAUAUAACGAUUUGUGAGACGUUGAUCAAAUAACUGCACUAAAAACCAGAACUUCAAAUAUAAAAUUUCUGUGAAUCACAACAAUAAUAACCUUGCAUUCCGUCUGGCUUGGAUUCUCUGCCGACUCGUCCAUAUCCUUGACGCUUUCCUUGGGCACCUUCAAUAAGAACAAGUCAAAACACCAACAAAAAUGAAAGAUGAGGCCACGAAAACACGAAAAGUCUCAAUCUUUCUACCAUAAACAUACAUAUGCAGAUGCUAAGAGCAACUCCAGCCCCCAACACUCUAAGCUGGGCAACAGCCCAUUUUUUCCCCUCCCUCCCCAAAAACCCAGUCCACCCCAAUCAAUCCGCUGGGCUCCGGGGAAGGCCAGCAAGCUGCCCAGCAGAAAAUCGGCUGACUCAAUACCCGGCCUACUUGACGCCAUGCUCACGUCAUCGAUUUUUUAUUUUCUCCCGACGGAUUUCUCCCUCCCCUGCGACGACCAUCGGGAAACCUGGAGAAGGUUUGGCGAACCCAGCCUUCGAGGGAGGUCGAGCCUUCGCCGUCGCCGUCGAGAACCCAGCAUCCACAUCGUGCUGCUCGCCUCCACAUCCCCAAAUCCCAGCCUUCGAGGGGAAAAUUGUGGAAAUUCCAGGAACAAAGAAGAAGAAAUGGAUCGGAGGACUGCUCCUUGGAAGGGAUCGGGAAAAGGUGGGAGACUGGGAGAGUUUCCAGGAAGAACGAAGAAGAAGAAAGAAGAAAUAGGAAAAUAAAAAAUAAAAUUAACAAUAACAUAUUUUUAUUUUUAUUAAUUUUUAAUUAUCAAUUACCAGAACAAUUAUUUUACGAGGCAGAGAUAUACUCUAUUGAUUACUAUUUAUUACAGUCAAUUAUUCUUCAUUUGAGUAGAUUAAAUUUACUAUUGCCUAGCAAGAUUUUUAGGAUGGACUUGCUUUAAAAAGAAUAUGCGCAUUAAAUUGUCAAUAUAAUAAUUAAAAACAAAAUUAAAAUAAUAAAAUUAAGCAUGUUGUAACUAAUUUUUUUCCGUAUUUACGAAAAGAAUUAAUUUUAUUUGUUCAAAAAAAAGAGUUUAAAUUUUUUAAGAUGCCUCAUAUUAAUUAAAUUUCUGACUUGGUUGCUACGGAAAUGCUAAAUGCGGAACAAGAGAGAUUUACCUGCUUGUUUUUCCUUCUCCGAGGGUGAUUAUUCUUGCGAUUCGACCCGAACUUACAAUUGCCAGUCUUCAGAUCGUACCGACAGUCCCCACCUUCCGGCCUCAAUGGGUACUGAUUCCUUCUGCUACUCUCCCCAACAACCUCCUCCUCCACCCCACCGCCAUUCUCAUUCCCUCCUCCGCUGCCGCAGACGCUGCUGCUGCUUUCGCUCUUUUCCCUCUCUCUCUCCUUCUCAUUUUCCUUUUCCUUUUCAGUCUCUCUCUCCUUCUCCUCCUCUUCUGCUUUAUCCUCCUUUUCCUUCAAACUCAAUUUCCGAAUCCCAUCAACGAUGGAAGGAUCGAAGCUCCGAUCCUCAUCGAGGAAGGCGGGGUCGAAUUGCUGAAUCUCAUCGAGCACGGCGGGGCCGAGUGUCCCAAUCCAAUCAAGGAUUUCAACAACGGACGGCUCAGGAGACGGAACAGACGGGGGAUUUUGAGCAACGCCUACGCUUUCAGAAAAUUCCGAAGGGAUAGCAGGGUCCAAGUUCCGAAUCUCAUCAACGAUGGAAGGAUCGAAGUUGCGAAUCUCAACGGCGGGGUCGAAUUGCUGAAUCUCAUGGAGGAGGGCAGGGUCGCGAUUCCUAAUCCUAUUGAGCAAGGCGGGGUCGAGUGUGUCGAGUGUCCGAAUCCAAUGAAGGAUUUCAUGGUAGCGAUCGGAUGGCGCAGGAGACGGAACAGACGUCGGAUUUAGCGGAACUCCGACGCCUUCAGAAAAUUCCGAUUUCUGUCUGGAUUUAUAGUAAUUAUAAAUUGCGACCAGCACUGACAGUGACAACGGUAGGAGGAAACGCGCCGCUGACAACAUAGUUUUUGUGCUGAUGGCGGCGGCGGAUGCGGCGGCGACGGUAGCUGAAACUGGGUUGCUAGGUUUUGCUGUGAAUUUGCAACUAGCAACUACAUUAUGGAGGAAACAAACUCUCUCAUAUGAUAAAAAUAUAUUUUGACUGGCCAAGUCAAAGUCUGCUUUUUUCAGA
rnacentral:lncRNA from 1 species